ensembl:Y_RNA Y_RNA Y RNA
AACUGGUCUGACGGCAGUGGGUUAUCAAAACUUACUACUAUUUAGUGUCACUAACGUUGGCAUACAAGUCCACACUACUAAAUUUGACUGGCUUAAA